GGAUGUGAGGGUGAUCUACCUGCGACUUCUGUCACCCCAGGGUUGGUUCGCUGAUCCGGCUGGUGAGGCGGGGGUCCCCUGCCUCCCUGACCGCUCCAGGCGCGUCCCUCCCGAAGCUGGUGCUCGGUGGAAGAGGACGACCUUGCCUGACAGAGGAGAGGACGUUCUUCGGUCAGGGUGCACGGGUAGCUGCGUCCCCGCCGGGACCUCCAGCUCUCAGGCGUUUCCUUGGGACCUGUUUGCAGGGAAACAGAUCAUGGGCUCGACUAUUUUAUUAGUUUAUCUUUGCCGGGAAAAUAAUUUUAAC
rnacentral:snRNA from 1 species